AAUGAUGAAAGAAAAUUGCUGACCCAUGAAUUCUGCUUCUAUGUUUUAGGAAGAGAUACUGAACCUCAAAUUUGCUGUUUUUGCACCAAGUGCAAGCCUUAUUACCUGCAGAAAGUAGUGCCAAUAUUGUGGAGAAACAGACACAGGAUUUUAUUAUGUGAAUGACUGACCUGCAAUAAAAGAUUCAGGCACAGCCUCAUCAGGCAUCGACAGUUACAGUGAGGACAUUGACUGGACAAGAAUAAGGUCCUACAAUUUGUACUGGGGACAUGUGAGAAAACCCCAAUAAACCUGGGAACACUGAAUAUGCAAACUCUGAUAAACUAAUUUAUUUAUUUAUUGCCAGAAAAAAACAGCUUUCUACUCUUCAAAAGAGGCAACAUCCCCUAUCUGACCCAUGCUGCCAUCAGCCUUUCCAACUCUGAAGGGAUAAAUGCUUCACUGACUGAGGCAACAGUGAUGGACUCCCCUGAAGCAAUUUCUGGGUGCCUGUCUGUCUUCUGCUACACUUCAUCCUGCCAAUACUGUUUACAGAGAGAAACCUCCAGGCCAAUGCCAAGCUGCCUUUAGUCCUACCCAACUCCCCGAGCCUCCUGUCCUCACUGGUGCCAAAGAACUAGAGAAAACUGAGGUUGCGGAGGGCUGCUCUUCCAAAAUAACCACAACUGUCAGCACGCCAGGAAUCAACAUUAUCUUCUUCUUCUGUGGAAGUAUCUUUAUUUGUUUCAAAGGCAAUUUUAUUCAUUUCUAUCUAAUGCUAUAUAAGGUAAGUGGGAGAAACUCAUUAACUCGAAGCAUAUCAUUUUCAUCUACUGCAAAUAAGCUGAUCAUACAGUGCUCUUUGCACACAGCUUUGAAGUUUGGCUCUGACUUUAGGAUGUUUAGCAGUGUUUUCCCACAGUCACCCAGAGAGAACUUACAGAAGGGGUCAUAG
rnacentral:lncRNA from 1 species